rnacentral:misc_RNA from 1 species
GUGAAUCAUCAAAUUUUUGAACGCAAAUUGCACUCCCCGCGAGGAGGAUGCGUAUUUGAGGGUGAGCCUAAGAAAAAUCGACAUCGUUGCUGUUCCUCGGUGACGUUCUCCGGAAAUGGGGUUAUCUUAAACCUUUUGGGUUUAGCGACUUAAAAUUUUCCGUUUGAUUCCAUGAACGUUUCUAAUAUUUAUUUCUUUACACGUUUAAGGUAUCGUUUUUUAUUAGGCGUUACCAUCAUAUCGGAUCGCAUCCUUAAUCUUUCAUUAACUUACCUUCAACCAG